CCUUACAUAGGUCUUUUUCAAGUGCAUCUAGUUUCACAGUGAAACUUUUUACUUCACUGUGAAACUAGAUGCACUUGAAAAAGACCUAUGUAA